UCGAAACGCAUACAGAAGCUACGGAAGCUGACACAGGACAAAAAUGUUGUCGUCUGUUACACCUGACAGUAGCCAAUCAAGCGAUGAGGUUUCUGUACAAAGAUAUCUGAUGCUCAUCUAUUCAUGUGCAAUUUGAUUUGCAAAGGCACAAUAGUAGUGUGAAUGUGGCAGUGUAAAGGGUGCUCAGUAGCAGUUUCCAGUAGACUGACACUACUAAACCAUUAUAAAGUCAAGCAUCCUCAUUUUGGACGUACAAGCCGUUAUCCAUGUACGUAUUUUUAAUGCCCGUGCACAUUUAAGACGUGGUGUAUACCUGUGUGUACCUCAAUGAGAACCCAGACAAUUUGGUGAAAGAGUAUAUGGCUGCUGCUGAUGCCUUCACCUCCACUGAAGAGACCACAGUGGGAAUCUACAUUCUCAAAUCUCAGG